UACCAGCACCCCGAGUGGUCGGGACGUUUAUUGGGCGUAAAGAGCUCGUAGGCGGCUUGUCACGUCGGAUGUGAAAGCCCGGGGCUUAACCCCGGGUCUGCAUUCGAUACGGGCAGGCUAGAGUGUGGUAGGGGAGAUCGGAAUUCCUGGUGUAGCGGUGAAAUGCGCAGAUAUCAGGAGGAACACCGGUGGCGAAGGCGGAUCUCUGGGCCAUUACUGACGCUGAGGAGCGAAAGCGUGGGGAGCGAACAGG
rnacentral:rRNA from 1 species